GACGAACGCUGGCGGCGUGCUUAACACAUGCAAGUCGAACGGAAAGGCCCUGCUUUUGUGGGGUGCUCGAGUGGCGAACGGGUGAGUAACACGUGAGUAACCUGCCCUUGACUUUGGGAUAACUUCAGGAAACUGGGGCUAAUACCGGAUAGGAGCUCCUGCUGCAUGGUGGGGGUUGGAAAGUUUCGGCGGUUGGGGAUGGACUCGCGGCUUAUCAGCUUGUUGGUGGGGUAGUGGCUUACCCAGGCUUUGACGGGUAGCCGGCCUGAGAGGGUGACCGGCCACAUUGGGACUGAGAUACGGCCCAGACUCCUACAGGAGGCAGCAGUGGGGAAUAUUGCACAAUGGGCGGAAGCCUGAUGCAGCAACGCCGCGUGCGGGAUGACGGCCUUCGGGUUGUAAACCGCUUUCGCCUGUGACGAAGCGUGAGUGACGGUAAUGGGUAAAGAAGCACCGGCUAACUACGUG
rnacentral:rRNA from 1 species